rnacentral:misc_RNA from 1 species
GAUGAAGAACGUAGCGAAAUGCGAUACGUAAUGUGAAUUGCAGAAUUCAGUGAAUCAUCGAAUCUUUGAACGCAUAUUGCGCUCUUUGGUAUUCCGAAGAGCAUGCUUGUUUGAGUAUCAGUAAACACCUCAAAGCUUUUGGAUUUUUUAAUCGAAAAGCUUUGGACUUGAGCAAUCCCAACACCAAUCUUUUUGAGAUCGGUGGCGGGUUGCUUGAAAUGCAGGUGCAGCUGGACAUUCUCCUGAGCUAAAAGCAUAUUCAUUUAGUCCCGUCAAACGGAUUAUUACUUUUGCUGCAGCUAACAUAAAGGGAGUUUGACCGUAUUGGCUGACUGAUGCAGGAUUUCACAAGGGUCGGCAACGAUUCAUGUUAAACUCGAUCUCAAAUCAAGUAAGACUACACGCUGAACUUAAGCAUAUCAAUAAGCGGAGGA